rnacentral:rRNA from 1 species
UGUGCAGGCGGCUUUGUAAGUCAGUGGUGAAAGCCCGGAGCUCAACUCUGGAAUUGCCAUUGAUACCGCAAAGCUUGAGUUCGGUUGAAGUAGGCGGAAUGUAGCAUGUAGCGGUGAAAUGCUUAGAUAUGCUACAGAACACCGAUUGCGAAGGCAGCUUACUAAACCGUUACUGACGCUGAUACACGAAAGCGUGGGGAGCGAACAGGAUUAGAUACCCUGGUAGUCC